UAUGAAAUAUUUCAUAAUAGUUAUAUAGAUAUAACUAUUAUAACUAUAUAACUAUAUGAAAACUAUAUAUAUAAUUAUAUAUAACUAUUAUAACUAUGUAUAGCUAUAUAGUUAUAUCUAUAUAACUAUUAUGAAAUAUUUCAUAAAAUAUUAAAUCUGAAGCCAUGUAAAAGCCAAGUCAAAAGAAUUUGACUAAAUUUGAAGUCAAAAGAAUUUGAAUCUAAAUUGCAUCCAUAUCCAAAACAAAUUCUGGGAACUUUUGAAAAUUAGAACUUACUUCUGUAUACUGUAUAAGGAGAGUGGAAUAGUAAUACGGAACACACUAUACAUUUUACAUUUUUGAAAGUGUCUUUCAAACCCUUCAUCGCAAUGACUUUUUCAAUCUGGAGGUCCUACAACGGAUCUUUUGUGGUUGUGCCAACAUGUUAUUGUUUGUACUAUGGUAAAUGAGAUCUCUUUUUUCAAUACAUUUUCCAGGUGGCUGGUGCUGGUGGAGAGGACAGUUUCUAAGUUGUAUAUAGUUUUCCUGUGUUGUGCUUCAUUUAAAAAAAAAAGUAUUAAUUUUGUAUAUUUAUUGACUGGUUGCUUAUGUAUUUAUAUUGCUAAAAAAUAAUGACAAAUCUGUCUUUUUUAGAACUCAUUUCUUUUAGUUUUUUAUCUUGUUUUUUUUUCCAAACUGUCAGUCCCAUCAUAGUAAUUUUGAAGGUUUGUAUUCCUUUUACAUUCCUGUUUGUAAGAGAAAGCAUCUGUAAAUUACCCUGAAUAUGACAAUGACUAUUGUUUUUAGAUCACCACUCUAUACAAUUAAGAAGGACUCCUUUGAUUCCCGUUUUAUCAUAUUUCUAAUAUGGAAGGAGUAAAAUAGGCACACAGACACGAUUCUGUCGAGACUUGAACCAUUAGGCAUUUGACAUUGAAGCCCAUGCUGUAAACAACUUUACUAUUUCAUAUUUGGCCAUUUUGAUCAUAUCUUUCAUAACAGAAAUCCCUGUAUUAAACAUAAUUACAUAUCUGAUAUAAACAUUAUUGGAAUUUGAUGCAUUAUUUUUAACAUUUACUGAUAGAUUUAUGAAAAUUAUAGAAUGUCUUAUCCACUGUUGGGGCAAGAGAGAGAAUAGCAAACAAGCUAUGGAAAACUGGACAACAGGUGUGUGUGUUUAAUGAGGAAAACGUCUUUGGUUUAGAAUUCGUUUUAUAUUUUCCUUAUAAAAUAAAUGAGCAGCUUUUGGGAUGCUUUGGAAAACAUUCAUAAGAGUUUGUUACAGUAGGUCCUAACCCCACCUCACGUCGGCCUCCCUCUUUGCGGCUGAGCCAAUCACAAUAGUGUAUCACUGAUCCAGGGGCACUUUUUGUGUUAUUUUCCAACUUCCUUCUUACAUGCUCUCAAGAGCUUACUUCUUGUGCAUCUGUGGCCAUGGAAAACAAAGCCCAUAGUUAUUAGGGAAUAUUCCCAGGACUGAUUGCCACCAAUGUCCCUCCAACUGCUGUAAUGUUUAACCAAAUUAUUUACAAUGUGUGCCUCCUUUGUGUCUCUUCCAUAGAGAUUUCAUCUUUCUUUCUGUGUGUGUAUUUGUUUUUCUUUUCCUUUUUCUACUAGCACUUCUAUGCUUUUAAAAUUUUUGUUGUCUUUGUUGUUGUAGUUGUUCAAUUUUGUUGGGGAGGGGGGUUUAACAACAGAAUUUAUGUUUAAUUUAUGAUGCCAUGUAGCCAGAACAAAACAUUCCACCCGGUUGUUGGUUGCAUUUUGUGUGUGUGUGAGUGACAAAUUUAAAGGCAUAAAAGACAUGAAAAACGAGUAUUUUACUACUUGAUGUUG
rnacentral:lncRNA from 1 species